rnacentral:rRNA from 1 species
CCUACGGGGCGCAGCAGUGGGGAAUAUUGGGCAAUGGGCGCAAGCCUGACCCAGCAACGCCGCGUGAAGGAAGAAGGCUUUCGGGUUGUAAACUUCUUUUAAGGGGGAAGACCAGAAGACGGUACCCCUUGAAUAAGCCACGACUAACGACGUGCCAGCGGCCGCGGGAAUACGUAGGUGACAAGCGUGUUCCGGAUUUACUGGUAGUAAAGGUCGUGCAGCCGUAAAGGCAAGUCAGAUGUUAAAUCAACGGGCUCAACCCGUGAACUUCAUUUGAAACUGUUUCCCGUGAGUGUGGGAGAGGUAAUCGGAAUUCCUUGUGUAGCGGUGAAAUG